rnacentral:lncRNA from 1 species
CGCUCUCCUGCUCCGGGGGACUGGGAGAGCAGCAUCUAUUGGAAGGAGGACCAGAGGAAGGGAUUCUAGCCGGCAGAGACUAAGAGAAGUCCACGGCAGCGCCUUUAGCCCACUACACCGUCUCUGUGAACUUGGUCAGAGCUGCUUAAAGCAGAACUGGUCUCGUGACCCACACAGCCUGUCACCAUCCCAAAAUAGUGAGAGAUGGUGAGAUGGCUCUCUAACUCACUCAGGUGGUUCCGGGGAGAAACCUUGCCAGGGCCCAUGUGUGAGCACAGCCACUUUUCUUGACCGGGAUCUUUGCGUCACCAGCAGGGAAAGGAAAUUCCUAAGCAAGGAACACCGCUCAGAAAGUGUUGUGCCAUGCCUCCAAAUCCCUGAGAAUCAAGUCGAAAAACUGGGAGCAACAGAAAACACU